rnacentral:rRNA from 1 species
GACGAACGCUGGCGGCGUGCUUAACACAUGCAAGUCGAGCGGAAAGGCCACUUCGGUGGUACUCGAGCGGCGAACGGGUGAGUAACACGUGAGUAAUCUGCCCCUGGCUUUGGGAUAGCCACCGGAAACGGUGAUUAAUACCGGAUACGACCACUUCUCGCAUGGGAUGGUGGUGGAAAGUUUUUUCGGCCAGGGAUGUGCUCGCGGCCUAUCAGCUUGAUGGUGAGGUAAUGGCUCACCAUGGCUUCGACGGGUAGCCGGCCUGAGAGGGUGGCCGGUCACACUGGGACUUAGACACGGCCCAGACUCCUACGGGAGGCAGCAGUGGGGAAUAUUGGACAAUGGGCGGAAGCCUGAUCCAGCAACGCCGCGCGAGGGAUGACGGCCUUCGGGUUGUAAACCUCUUUCAGCAGGGACGAAGCGCAAGUGACGGUACCUGCAGAAGAAGCACCAGCCAACUACGUGCCAGCCGCCGCCGUAA